GUGUAUAACUACUUUCUUCUAACACAUAAAUAUAAACUAUUAGCUAUGAAAUACGUGCUAUGUGUUAUAUAUUAUUUGUCUAUUUGAAAUGGGCAUGGAAUUGAUGUUUUAUACAAGUGUUAAAUGAUUUAAACUGUGUAAGUAUUUAUAUCUACAAAAAUGUUGGGUAGAAUAAGGGUAGAUGGGAUAGUUGGUGACUAUGGAGUUAGCACCUACCGUUAGAUAAACCUUGGCGACUAUGCGACUUAGUGCCUAUCAAGUAAACCUUGGUGACGAUGUGACUUCGUGCCUAUUAAGUAAACCCUGGCGACUAUGCGACUUAGUGCCU
rnacentral:lncRNA from 1 species